rnacentral:rRNA from 1 species
UACGGGGGGGGCAAGCGUUGUUCGGAAUUACUGGGCGUAAAGGGCUCGUAGGCGGCCAACUAAGUCAGACGUGAAAUCCCUCGGCUUAACCGGGGAACUGCAUCUGAUACUGGAUGGCUUGAGUUUGGGAGAGGGAUGCGGAAUUCCAGGUGUAGCGGUGAAAUGCGUAGAUAUCUGGAGGAACACCGGUGGCGAAGGCGGCAUCCUGGACCAACACUGACACUGAUGAGCGAAAGCCAGGGGAGCAAACGGG